rnacentral:rRNA from 1 species
GCGUGGGUAACCUACCUCAUACAGGGGGAUAACAGUUGGAAACGACCGCUAAUACCGCAUAACCCGCUAGUAUCGCAUGAUACGGACGGAAAAGAUUUAUCGGUAUGAGAUGGACCCGCGUCUGAUUAGCCAGUUGGCAGGGUAACGGCCUACCAAAGCAACGAUCAGUAGCCGGCCUGAGAGGGUGAACGGCCACAUUGGGACUGAGACACGGCCCAAACUCCUACGGGAGGCAGCAGUGGGGAAUAUUGCACAAUGGGGGAAACCCUGAUGCAGCGACGCCGCGUGAGUGAGGAAGUAUUUCGGUAUGUAAAGCUCUAUCAGCAGGGAAGAAAAUGACGGUACCUGACUAAGAAGCCCCGGCUAACUACGUGCCAGCAGCCGCGGUAAUACGUAGGGGGCAAGCGUUAUCCGGAUUUACUGGGUGUAAAGGGAGCGUAUACGGUUAAUCAAGUCAGAAGUGAAAACCCAGGGCUCACCCUUGGGACUGCUUUUGAAACUGAGUAGCUAGAGUGCAGGAGAGGUAAGCGGAAUUCCUAGUGUAGCGGUGAAAUGCAUAGAUAUUAGGAGGAGCACCAGUGGCGAAGGCGGCUUACUGGACUGUAACUGACGUUG